rnacentral:lncRNA from 1 species
UUCAAUCCUUGUUCAUUAUAAGUUUGAAAAUGCUAUGCUUCUUUCAUGUAAGGUUCCUACACAGAAAACUCGAAACCAAAAACAAAGAAAAUAUAAAAGCCUAAUGUUCUAAUAAAAAUUAUCCAAGAUUAUUACAAUUUGAAAUAAAAAUUAAAAUUUUAGUCUAAUCAUCCUCAUCUUCCUCAAAAUCCAUGUCCCC